AAAGUAGAUAAGGACCACGGUCAGGCGUCUAUAUACGCCUGUUUAAAAGGAAUCUGGUGAGAGUCCAGAACAGCCUAUCUCUACUGUGUGGGGGACGAAAAAGUAGGAUACCACUGGGGGAACCUGGGAAGGUACUUGAGUAGGAAGAACCUGAGUCAGGAUACAACAACGGGGUCUGUGUAAAGAU
rnacentral:ncRNA from 2 species